rnacentral:rRNA from 1 species
UAGGGAAUCUUCGGCAAUGGACGGAAGUCUGACCGAGCAACGCCGCGUGAGUGAAGAAGGUUUUCGGAUCGUAAAGCCCUGUUGUUAGAGAAGAACGUUGGUAGGAGUGGAAAAUCUACCAAGUGACGGUAACUAACCAGAAAGGGACGGCUAACUACGUGCCAGCAGCCGCGGUAAUACGUAGGUCCCGAGCGUUGUCCGGAUUUAUUGGGCGUAAAGCGAGCGCAGGCGGUUCUUUAAGUCUGAAGUUAAAGGCAGUGGCUUAACCAUUGUACGCUUUGGAAACUGGAGGACUUGAGUGCAGAAGGGGAGAGUGGAAUUCCAUGUGUAGCGGUGAAAUGCGUAGAAAUAUGGGGGAAAACCGGUGGCGAAAGCGGCUCUCUGGUCUGUAACUGACGCUGAGGCUCGAAAGGGUGGGGAGCAAACAGG